rfam:Triticum aestivum genome assembly, contig: Triticum_aestivum_CS42_TGACv1_scaffold_406017_5BL
AUGCUACUCCCUCCGUUCGGAAUUACUUGUUGUAGAAAUGGAUGUAUCUAGAUGUAUAGUUCUGGAUACAUCCAUUUUCGAGACAAGUAAUUCCGAAAGAAGGGAGUACAUC